AUUGAACGCUGGCGGCAUGCUUUACACAUGCAAGUCGAACGGUAACAGGCCUUCGGGUGCUGACGAGUGGCGAACGGGUGAGUAAUGCAUCGGAACGUGCCCAAUCGUGGGGGAUAACGUAGCGAAAGUUACGCUAAUACCGCAUAAGCCCUGAGGGGGAAAGCAGGGGAUCGCGAGACCUUGCGCGAAUGGAGCGGCCGAUGUCAGAUUAGCUAGUUGGUGGGGUAAAGGCCCUACCAAGGCGACGAUCUGUAGCGGGUCUGAGAGGAUGAUCCGCCACACUGGGACUGAGACACGGCCCAGACUCCUACGGGAGGCAGCAGUGGGGAAUUUUGGACAAUGGGCGCAAGCCUGAUCCAGCCAUGCCGCGUGCGGGACGAAGGCCUUCGGUUGUAAACCGCGUUU
rnacentral:rRNA from 1 species